AAUAUGUGAAUGGUAGAGCAGUAGGGCCCAGGGCAGCUCUCAAAGCCUGCAGGCUCACACGCUGGAUGCCAUCCCCAGGAGCAUGGCCCUUGUCUCUGCCAGGAAACUAUCCAUAUGAUGUGUAAAUUGAGGCUUGGAGGAAUGAGCAUGGUCAAUGUCCGUACGGGUACAAGUCACAGAGCCAAAAUAUGAACAAAAAACUGCAGCUUCUCUGGCCUUCAGGAAGAAUAAACAGUCAGAGGUCCUGGCUCUUCCUACGUUGAACACCUGAACUUCACAGCCAUCACCUUCCUAUGUAAGGUCACCAACACAUGCAGACAAGGUGGACUUCUCUUUCAAACCAUUCCUUGUUGCACCACAAGAAUGCAUUGAGCUGGGUGUGGUGGUGCACACCUGUAAUCCCAGCAGCUCAGGAGGCUGAGGCAGG